CGCACGGGUGCGUAACGCGUAACCAACCUACCUGAAUCUGGGGGAUAGCCCGCCGAAAGGCGGAUUAAUACCGCAUAAAACCACAGCCUGGCAUCAGGCAAUGGUUAAAGAUUUAUUGGAUUCAGAUGGGGUUGCGUGCCAUUAGCUAGUUGGGGAGGUAACGGCUCACCAAGGCGACGAUGGCUAGGGGAGCUGAGAGGCUGGUCCCCCACACGGGCACUGAGAUACGGGCCCG
rnacentral:rRNA from 1 species